rnacentral:rRNA from 1 species
AGGGUUUGAUUCUGGCUCAGGAUGAACGCUAGCUACAGGCUUAACACAUGCAAGUCGAGGGGCAGCAUAAACUUAGCUUGCUAAGUUUGAUGGCGACCGGCGCACGGGUGAGUAACGCGUAUCCAACCUUCCGUACACUCAGGGAUAGCCUUUCGAAAGAAAGAUUAAUACCUGAUGGUAUGAUGAGAUUGCAUGAUAGCAUCAUUAAAGAUUUAUCGGUGUACGAUGGGGAUGCGUUCCAUUAGGUAGUAGGCGGGGUAACGGCCCACCUAGCCAACGAUGGAUAGGGGUUCUGAGAGGAAGGUCCCCCACAUUGGAACUGAGACACGGUCCAA